ACUUUACCCAUCAGCAGUGGAAACUGAGUGCCUUGGACUGAUGACUGAGCCCACAGGGUGCUGAGUGCCAUCAGUUACCAUGGACUUCACAGGCUAAAGCUCCCUUUUCAAACAUACAUUUAACAGAUGAAAUUCCUGAAUCUCAGCUCAGUGAUUGGCAGAGGCUUCAUACAGAUGUUACAUAUACGGGGGGUUGCAUAUGCCACAAAAUCAGCCUUUAAAGCAGCUUUAAUGACCUUUUGCACUGCUUUAAUAGUGCUGCUGUUUACACUGCCAGGGAGUAUUGAGUGUUUAAUGACUUUGGGACAUAGCAAAAUAAAACAUGUUCAAGGUGUUUUAGUUUGCCCCCUUACAGCUGCU